rnacentral:rRNA from 1 species
UACGUAGGGACCAAGCGUUGUCCGGAAUUAUUGGGCGUAAAGAGCGUGUAGGCGGUCCGGUAAGUCAGCUGUGAAAAGUCAAGGGCUCAACCCUUGAAAGCCGGUUGAUACUGUCGGGCUAGAGUCCGGAAGAGGCGAGUGGAAAUUCCCGGUGUAGCGGUGAAAUGCGCAGAUAUCGGGAGGAACACCAAUGGCGAAGGCAGCUCGCUGGGACGGU